rnacentral:rRNA from 1 species
GUGGGGAAUAUUGGACAAUGGGCGCAAGCCUGAUCCAGCAAUGCCGCGUGAGUGAAGAAGGCCUUAGGGUUGUAAAGCUCUUUCACCCGUGAAGAUGAUGACGGUAGCGGGAGAAGAAGCUCCGGCUAACUCCGUGCCAGCAGCCGCGGUAAUACGGAGGGGGCUAGCGUUGUUCGGAAUUACUGGGCGUAAAGCGCGCGUAGGCGGCGCAUGGAGUUAGGCGUGAAAGGCCUGGGCUCAACCCAGGGACUGCGCUUAAUACUGAUGUGCUGGAGUCCGGGAGAGGGUGGUGGAAUUCCCAGUGUAGAGGUGAAAUUCGUAGAUAUUGGGAAGAACACCGGUGGCGAAGGCGGCCACCUGGCCCGGUACUGACGCUGAGGUGCGAAAGCGUGGGGAGCAAACAGGAUUAGAUACCCGGGUAGUCC